GACCAAUGUCAUCACCGUUAUGGAGGGCAUCGUCGUGUGUUACUUCUGCGUAGGUCUGCUACUCAGGUGUGCUCCUCUUCAGCCAGAAGUGGGGCCCACUGCCCUGCAAAGGAAGCCUGGGUACAAGGUUUUCUCCAGUUCAACCUUGAUGCUGCCCAGGAUGCUUGAAAGCUCCAGGAUAAUCCCGGAGGAAAAUCAUCUUUGGAGAAAGAGGAAGAAUGGAGAAGCUUCUGCCUGACUUAUCCACCCACCCACCACCAAACCGUGAUUCAUUCUCACGGUUCUCAUGACAUGCCAUGUGUUAGAAUAUGGGGAUAUAGAAGCAGCAGACCUCCCUCCAGAAACUCUUCUAACAGAAAGAAAAUUGCAUGGCCUAAAAUGUCAGUAGCAUGUGUAAUUCUCUAAGAUAGAUAAGUGUGGCAGUUUCACACACCGAUACUUUCUGGAAGAGCUUAAAGAUAUGCACUAGCGGUUGUUCAUGUGUCCCUCACCCACCAUGAGCAGGUCACCCCCUACACACUGGGAGGCCUGGGAGCCCUCUUCCUGCUUGGCCUGGUCGCCCACAUCUGUAAAGGCUGGGGCUCAGAUUAGAUGGCUCUGUGGCCUCUCUCAGUCAAGUAACCCUAAGGUUUUCUCUCCAGGGACCCUGAAGUCCGGAUGUGACUCCAGGGCUCCCACACAG
rnacentral:lncRNA from 1 species